GACCUGUUGUAGCAGUAAAUGAGACAGUAGAGAUCUCUGCUCUCAUGGAGCUUUCAUUCUAGUAGAGUGGUGAGAUCAAGUCGGUAGAUCCCAGACUAAUCCAUGUGAUGCUGAUGGAUAAUUCAGCGCCUCAAAGCGAGGUACAGUAAUGGACUGCAUUCCUGAGCAGACUCAUGAGCUUGCAUUAUCUUGCUGUGUGUAGAUCCCUUAUAUAUGUGUUUUCCAUGGAUGCCUUUUGAGUUGUUCAGCUUUAGCCACUGUACAUUUUUUUGCUCUCUCCACAGUCUGUCUAAUUAAGGGGGGAUAUUCUCAAGAAAGAGACCUAGUUUGAGCAAACCCUUUUAAGCAUGACUAUGUUCCCUAGUUCUUCUAAAGUGCAAGGCUGGUUUCUUCCUAUAUUCUGUCAGGACAGGUAUAUUUGAAAGAUAUAGUAGUCAGUUAAAAGUGCAAUAAGCAGUAGUAAUACUCGUGAUCUACCAAGUAACAAGAAGUGAAGGAUAAACUACGUCCACUUUUUUUUUUUUUCCAUUCGGUGGCAGUGAGCUCCAACGGAGUCUGAAAUUCUGUAUUCCCAAGUAGAAUCAAUUCAAGCUGGUACCUAGUUCAGUGCUCAGCCCCCAGUGCAUUGGUUACUCCAUAAUUGUUAUGAACCAGCCCAACUCUUGGUUUAUUCAGAAUUAAUAUAGCCCCAAAAAAGAUACAUUAAAGCUCUCUGGGCCAGGUGCAGUGGCUCACGCCUGUAAUCCCAGCACUUUGGGAGGCCGAGGCAGGCGGAUCACCUGAGGUCAGGAAUUCAAGACCAGCCUGAC
rnacentral:lncRNA from 10 species